CGAAAACCUCAGAGAGAGAGAGAGACAGAAAAAUUUAUGUAAAUAUUUAAAUAUAAAGUUACUUUAAGGAAUAUGUAGCUCAUGUAUCAAAGGCAGCUGGAUUUGCACAGACAUUUCUCGCUCAUCAUUUGAUUGGAAGGCAGCCAAAGUAUAUAAGAUUUAUAACUUUUUUUUAAAUAUAUAUAUUUAUUUUUAAUCAGGCCAUAAAUACAAUUAUAAUUUACCAUAUCAGAUCAUAAAUCAGACAGGUGCUGUGGCAAAUCAGUUAUAAACUUAAGCAAGCACUUGAGCCUAAAGAUUCAAUGUUUAUACGUUGAUACAGAUGAUCAAUCAAAUUGAGAGGUUGGCCAUUUCAUUAAUUAAAGUAUUUAUUUAAUUCAUUAUUUUUAAUUUAAUAAUUUUUGAGCAGUUUUCUUUUUAAUAAUACCUUAGCAGAUUUAGAUUUCUUUUUAAAUAUUUGUGAUAAGUUUUCUACAUUUUAUAUAAAGCAAUAUAUAUUUACUUUAAAACAAAAGAAGCAAAGAGGAAUACAAAGAAUAUUGGAUGAGUGCAAAAAUUAUGCAGUAGAAGCAAAUGGAAAUAAAACUUGCACUUUUGAACUAAAGUGGGGCAACCAAAAAUUAUUUCCAUUAUCGAUUAAUCUGCAUAUUGUCUUUCAAUUAAAUCGAUUAAUUGCUUGGUCUAUAAAAUGCCAGAAAAGAGUAAAAAAUGUUCACCACAGUUUCCCAAGGUGAGCUUUUGUCUGUUUACUAUAAUGUAGAACCAGGAAAAUCAGCUAAUUCCCACAUCGGAGAAGCUUGAACCAUCAAAUAUUUGACAUUCUUGUUUGAAAAAUUACUUAAACGAUUUAUAGACUAUCAAAAUAGCUGGCAUUUAAUUUUCUCUUGCCCGACUAAAUCGCCGCAGCUCUACAAUAAAGUAUUAAAACGACAGCAAACAAAAUACAAUGAUAUCAUAUAUGAAAAUGUAAACUAAUCUGUUUAAAGUAUUGGAUUAAAAACUAGAAUUUAUAAUCUAACUUUAUCGGCUCCCUGAAAUUCCUCCUCCACCGGUUAAAGGUCCUGGGCCUCAACAGUGAGCUACCAUUUUUAUACAGUUACACAUGAUAGAUCCAUCAGACCCCAGACAGAUAAAACAGACGUGGAUGUGAGAGGAAGACGCUGGAAGUUUCUGGACAGGAUGUACCUCUGUCUGGUCGUUCAGCCAGCGAGCUCAGAGGAGAAGAUGGACUGGAGAGACAGACAGACAGAGCGAGAGGGGAGACAGGUUUAUUAUCUGAUGCGUUAUUCAGAUCCAGUCCACUAGAGGUCUGUACAGCCUCUCGGUUCAGCUGUUUCAGCUUCAGCAUUCACUGAUAAGAAUAAACUCCUGACUUUAACCUUA